CGAAGGUAGCAUAAUCAGUAGUCUUUUAAUUGAAGGCUUGUAUGAAUGGUUGGACGAGAUAUUAACUGUCUUAUCUUAAUUUUUUUUUGAAUUUAAUUUUUUAGUCAAAAAGCUAAAAUUUAUUUAAAAGACGAGAAGACCCUAUAAAUCUUUAUAUUGGAAUUAUUAUUAUUAUUUAGAUUUAUUUUAUAAUAAUAAUUAAUAAUAUUUUAUUGGGGUGAUAUUAAAAUUUAUAAAACUUUUAAUUUUUUGUUACAUUAAUUUAUGAAUAAAUGAUCCAUUUUUAAUGAUUAAAAAUACAAGUUACUUUAGGGAUAACAGCGUAAUUUUUUUGGAGAGUUCUUAUCAAUAAAAAAGAUUGCGACCUCGAUGUUGGAUUAA
rnacentral:rRNA from 1 species